GAUGAACGCUGACAGAAUGCUUAACACAUGCAAGUCAUUGGCGAAGCUGCGCUUGCGCAGUCUAGCCAAGGCGGACGGGUGAGUAACGCGUAAGGAACUUGCCCUGCAGACAGGGAUAACGGACGGAAACGACUGAUAACACCUGGUAUUGUCAGGCUGGCGCAUGCCGGCCUGAUGAAAGGAGACGCUGCAGGAGAGCCUUGCGUCCUAUUAGCUAGUUGGUGGGGUAACGGCCCACCAAGGCGAUGAUAGGUAGCCGGCCUGAGAGGGUGAACGGCCACAAGGGGACUGAGAUACGGCCCUUACUCCUACGGGAGGCAGCAGUGGGGAAUAUUGGACAAUGGGGGCAACCCUGAUCCAGCAAUUCUGUGUGCACGAAGAAGGUUUUCGGAUUGUAAAGUGCUUUCAGCAGGGAAGAAGAAAGUGACGGUACCUGCAGAAGAAGCGACGGCUAAAUACGUG
rnacentral:rRNA from 1 species